CCCUGGAAAACAAGACCAGAAGACGGAACCAGAUCUGGAGCAAGAAGGCAGAGAAGAAUAGCCCUGGUUGAUGUGACUGGCAUCAGGAAGUGAUGGUUUACCAGAAGAUGAGGUGGUGGGUCUAAUCGCAACUGUCAUUUUGAAUAAUUGCCGGCAAGCGAGGUAUUUUGAGACACAGGCAAUCAGCGUGACAUGAAGAAACAAUUAUCAGAGCAUUCCUUUGUAACCAAGUCACAGGGAAACAAGAUGGAUGGGCACAUCUCCCUCCCAGAUCACUCUCAGGCAGAUAAAGCAGUUGCUGAGCCAAGCCCUCAGUUCCAGUGAACUCUCAGGAAAGGCAACAUGAAGCAAAGAUGCAGCCAUUGGUAUUUAACCAGUGUUCCUCAGACGUAGUCUGUGCUGGCUCCUGCUGUAGAUGCUUAGAACGAAGAAAAAUGAGGCAUACGCCAGUAUAGAGAGACAUGCAAUAAAAAUACACAUGACGUGGCAGGAGAGGGACCGAGGGCUGCUGCGAGCAUUAAGUGAGGAGUUUGGAAAGCCUGGAACAUAUGAACGCUUAAACACCCCUUCAGUACGCCAGCAUUAGGAGGUGAGGGCAGGCCUGGCUGCUGUGCUGUGUGCUGUCCACACGUCCAUUUGCCUCAUCCUAAAGGGAUAAUACAGAUAAAGUGAUGAAAUGUGGGCAACCUCAGACCUACCACACAGCAAGCACACACUUAACUGUGGCGACUGCUGCCACGUGUGUCUAAUGGAUCUCGGAUUGCCAAGGUCUACCAUGAAAGACCCAGGAUUGAGGCCUCACACCCCUGACAUUCUGAUUCUUGUUUACACUAGAAAAUGCAUGUGUGUAAAAUAGAAUAAAGCGGCUCUGACACACCCUUCCAAGCAACCCCGCCUGAGACUCAUUCACUCACUCACUCACUCAUUCACUCACUCACUCAUCCCAGACUUGUUUA
rnacentral:lncRNA from 1 species